AGAGGGGCCUGCCCCGUACCCGAGCGCAGCGAGUGGUUCGGGGAGGAAAGUCCGGACUCCUUCUCUGCCCAUACUGGGCAGGGUGACAAUUCCUAGCAGGUAACGCCUGCCGUCCCGCCCUAUUUCUAGCACAGACAUAUUUAAUCAUCGUCCUUAAGGCGAAGCCGCCUUACGGCUCUAAAUUUUGAUCAUUUACGAACUGUGUUAGAAAUGGGGCGGGAUAGGGAAAGUGCCACAGAGACAAUACCGCCCUGAACCACUCACUAUGGUUCGGGUACAGGGCAAGCCCUUUUAACUUUAACGCGAGAGGGGCUUGCCCCGAACCCGAGCGCAGCGAGUGGUUCGGGGUAAGGGUGAAAAGAGUGGGGUAAGAGCCCACAGCUCUUUUAGGUAACUAAAAGAGGGGGUAAACCCUGGGUGGAGACAGCAGGAUUGGUGCCCUGAGCAAUCGGGGAUCCCUGCGCUAGAAUCCAUAAGUGAUUAUGGAUCAAGGUAGAUGAUUACUUAGAAACAGAAUCCGGCUUAUGAGGUUUUUAAAGCA
rfam:Parcubacteria bacterium GW2011_GWC2_44_22 TW45_C0007, whole genome shotgun sequence.